UUAAAAGAGAUCAGCUCUGAAUAGGUAUGGGCUGACCAGCCCAGAUUUCAAGUGAAGCUCGUGCCAGGCCAGCACCUAGAGGUUAAACCAUGCACGUCUCAAGAAAAGAGAAAAAUCGAUCAUGGGAAGGUGGGGGGCGACUCUUCUAUGUAGGCUGCUAUGUUUGAAAUGUGGUCAAAUUAAGAAAAAGGGCACUACCAAAACCUUUGAAAUAACUUCUUGUUAUCCAUUCUAGUUUCUACAAUAUGAAAUUGGCCAUGCGAGGGUAAAAGGAUUACAUUCGUGGUCACAACAAUUUUAAAGUGGAAGGAGGCUUUCUCAAUUUGCCUGCUGAAAACGAUACAAGGGUUUGGAUUAACGGCAUAGCAGCUGCACAUGCUAUCCUUCUGGCUCUUAUCUUUUUCUCUAUAUACAAAAUCCAAAUUGGCUUCUGCUACCAGAAUAUUUUAUCUUUUUGAUUUUUUUAUCAUUUUUUUUUGUUGGAGGAUAGCUUCUUUUGGGUUUGGGGGUGAAAUGUCAAUAAAGCCCGGGAGAAAGGGACACGACUAAGAGAUAAAACGGAACUCGGAGUCCAAAGAAGGGAAGAAAUUAGCCGUGCUGCUUAAAUUUUAGGAUGGUUUUUCCUUUUCUUUUCAAAGAACAGCUCAGAAUUGUUUUCACCUGAAGACAUAACAAGAUAUGAUGCUUACAUUUACACCUUUCGGCUUUGCAUCGAGUUACUGUUUUGGCCCACUUAUAUUUACACUUUUUAUCCAUCUGAGCAAGUGCUAGUAUAAUAAGAUAUGAUCAGCCUCACAGCUUUGAUCUGGACCGCUUAUCUUCUGGGAAACUUUACCCACCGCUACAUAUCCCAUGUUGAUUCCACGUUAGAUUUUUUGGCUUUUAUGUUUCGUCACAGUUACCCUGUUGCUAAGGAUCCUAGCGUUCUAUCCUCAGGAUCUUGAUGCCUUCAGCAACUACAAGUCAAAUGGGAAAAACAUCAUUGCUCUUUCUGACUCGCUGAACACAUCCCCAUCCCUGGUUUUUCUUGCUUUAUAUAUAUGUUGUAGUGUAAAACUAACUAUCGGUAAACAACUUCAAACUUAAUUUCCAUAUUGGUGUCUCCCUUUUUUUUUCCUUGCCUUUUGACGUUAUCUUCAAAGCGAAACUGGCCAGUCAUUAAACUGUUCUUCGUCAAAGUUUACAUGCAGAUGGGAAGUCAGAUAAAAAGUACGAUGAUCUCAGGCAUGAUAACUCCGCUUCAGCUUUUAGACAGUGCUUUUCCUUUUCUUUCCCAGCGUAGAUAACUGUACGGGAUAUAUCUUCAAGAUCUGCAGAUUUUAAAGAACAAUAUUAAAAUUGACUAGGCAUUUUCAAUGGGCAGUUUUAUCCGUUAAUGAUUUCUUUUUUCCCUGGCAGACAUAUAAUAUAGUGCUUUUGUUGCGAAA